AUUAUACAUAUGUUGCACAAUGGAAAAUGAGAAAAGGCAACUGACAAGGCGUGACAUUGGCAGUGUAUCACAGAUGACUUUAUUAUCACUAAUAUAGGAGUUUGCACUGUGUAUUUAUAGGGAGUCUCCACAUGAUGAUCAGUUCAUUUGUCGUAGUUACUUAGUACAAAUCAGCCUGUAGAAACAGUUGGAUGAUGCCUUCUUCCUGUUAAAAGGGAGUUUUUUUUCCUCCACAGACGCCAAGUGCGGCUCAUUGUGGGAACUGUAAUAUUGAGGAAUUUUGACAAAUAAAUCUAAGUGUAUUUUUGUAACAAUAGGUUGGCUCUGUUGGACUUCAAAACGUUUAAUUGGUCACAAGUCUCCAUUACAAAUGGGUGUAUAGAGUUUAAAAGACAGAAGCCCAAUGAAAGAAAACAUGUAUUAUGGGAAUUGUUAAAUCCAAUAUUCUUUGAGAUUGACUCUCACAAGUCCUCCAGUUUUUUUUGUUGAACAAUAUCAACCGCUGGAGUUCCCCUUUUAAAUAGUCUUUCUACACUGGGGAAUCACAGUGUCUCUGCGGCCUAGGGCAUAUUUCUGAGUCUGCAGCUCAUUUGUCACAAUGCACCAUUCACCUCUCCUCUAUCCUUUCUGACUGAUCUUUUGAAAUUUGAUAAAGCCUACAUUUCAUUAAAGACAUUGAAGAGGAAUGAGAAAGGAGAGCGGCACUGUGUCAGAGUAGCUUGAGCAGAUCAGCAGAUAAGACAGGCAGAGCGAGGCAGGUCCUUAAUGCUGUGUGCCCCAGACAAAGGCGCCGUUGGCCAGGCCAGUGGAGAACAGAGGUGUCUGUGAGAGUCCAGCGCUCGGCCCCACUCGCCCCAACAUGACUCACCGCGGAGCCGGCCUCUGAGUGCUGACACAAGGAUGUACUUAUAUGACAUGUAGCCUACACACAGUCUCACAAACAACGAGGCAAGUGAGACAUGCAACCCAAAAGAUGUUGUGAUGAAAAAAAACUGUACAUUAGAGCAAUACGCAUACAUAAAGAAAAAUAUAAUAUGAAUGUAAAGUUCAACCCUCAUGUUUUUGUUAAGCUUUCCCUGCUACUGCAAAUUGAUAUCAGUUGUGCAUGAAGUACUCAUCACUAAUCACACUGGAGGAAAUAAUCCUGUCAAGAUCAUUAAUUAAGAGAUUAUUCUUCUCAAAAUCUUUCCAGAUUACACAUUUAUAGCUUCGUUAUGAUCAGAGCCACAUCUUACUGGCAAGGAAAAUGCACGCAAGUAGCAACAAUACACCCAUUCAGAUUCCAGCAGGGAUAGAAAUAAUAGACACUAUUAAAAUGAAUCCUCUACAGCGCCCGGUACAGUAAGAAGACAAAGUUUUCAAAUCAAAAGCUUUGGCCAAGAAGCCGCCUCCUCUCUGCCGAGUACCUCUAUGACACACCCUACGCACAUCCGACACGCCUCUUCUCACACAUGCUGCUCUGCUUGUCUGCACAUCAGUGCUGAGCAUGUAUCAAACACACACAUGCAGCAAACAGACAUGAAUUUUUCUGCCACACAAAUCGAUACACGUGAGCGGCACUUGCUUCAGUCAGAACUGAAACGGGUCUCUCGCACAUGCUCCUACAGACACAUAACACGCACGCACGAGCGCACACACACACACACACACACACACACACAUUUUCACUGCUAGUCUUGGCUCUUUGUAAAUUGAUUUCUAUAUUCUCUCUGUCAUUGACAUCAAUUGCAUUCAUUUCUAUAAAAACAAACAACCAAUCUACCAAAAAAUAAUCCUCCUCUACUUCCUUCCAUCCGGGCAACACAAUUCUCUCUCUCUGUCUCCUUCUUUGUCCUAUCACCUUGGUGAUACUGCUGCAAAUGCUGCUCUCAGUGUCACAGUGAGGUUCUCCUGAUUUCCCUGCUCUCACCCAUCUCCUCCUUGGACUAAUAGACAGCUUUCCUUCCAAAUGUCCACCUGUCCUCUAUCCCUCCCUCCAUCUUCUCCUCCUUGAACCAUCCUCCCUCCUUUUCGUGGUGAUUCUUCUUUGUGUCCUGUUACCCAUGUCACAACCACAGCCUGCUUCAGGGAUUGAAUACAAAGGGUCAUCUUGAAGUCAGCCGGUCAGUUAGCAACAUAAUCAUCCAUUAGGUGAGUCAGUUGCCAUGCAUGUACUUAAUCGACUGAAUUCACUUCCCUUCCACUACUAAAUCACAGUCUUCCAUUUUCAUCAGCUCCUGUCUUCUGGUCCCUCCCCCACAGAUGUCUACAGCAUCAUAAAUUGGCCUCCAUUUAAUAAAUUCAUUCAUACCUUGCAGGUUUAGCUGGUGGCUCUUUGGAGGACGUGACCCCAACUGUUGCUCUGCUCUCCCCUGUCCUUGCGGCGCCACCACUGGGGGACUUCUGGGUUUUGGUUGGGGUCUUCGUGGGAGACUUGCUUGUGGUUGUACUGGUAGUGGUUUCACCAUUGGAUAACUUCUUGCUGAGCUGGAGUCCGCUCGUGAACUUUUCAUGCUAGAGGGAGAUGAGAAAGUCAAAAAAUGUUUUGAGCUCAGUGUGUGCGUGUGUGUGUGUGUGUGUGUGUGUGUGUGUGUGUGUGUUCUUGCCUUUAGAGCCUCCUCAGGCACAGUGAGCUCUCCUCUCACCACCGUGAACAGGUUGGUAUGUGAGACAGGUUAGGGAAAUACUUGCCACAAAAGCACAGUUACGAUAGAUACACACACUUUACACACACAGAUGAACAACAUAAUUUAAAUAAUUUGCUACUGCAAGCUGUUAACUGCACAAUUGGCAUCUUGGUUAAGAAUUCAAAAAUGAUAUUGCCAAUUGUAUUGGUAUGUUUUUGGAAUGAUGAACUCACUGGUGGAUGUGUGAGUGCUGAAGAGAUAAGAAGAUCAGAAAAGUAAAAGGAUAUCAUAUCCAAACCUCAGCUUGUCCUCCAACUUCAGGGUAAUGUACAUUUGCUCCUGGAUACGGACAUCAUUUACAAAGGUCUGCAAUGGCAAUGCCAAGACAAAAAACCAAGAGUGUCAUUGAAAUCAAAUGAAAAAUGGACACUAGCAUUACCAGUUACAAUUGUUAUUUCUACGAAGAUUCAAAGUAAAAAAGAAAACAUUAAGGAUGAUAACACCACAAGAAGGCAACUGAUUAAACUGGUCUCAGUUGUGUCUGUCCUUCCAGGUGGACAUAUUAGGGUUGCAGCUAAGCAAUAUUCAUUAAAGGUUAAUCUGACAAUUAUUUUCUAAGUAAAUCUUUCACUAAGAAAAUAGUUAACAAUACUAAAAAUGAAUGCCCAGAGCCCAGGGUGACAAAGCCCAUAGAAUAUCAAAUUUACUCAUAUUUAUCAAAAAGCAACACAACAAAUCCUCACUUUGAGAAGCUGGAACUCAUUUGCUUGAAAAAUUAUUACAUUCCGGAAGCCUUUGAUCAAUCACAACAGAUCAGAGCCGACUGGGCUUUAUCGGGAGGGGGGCCUUAAAGAGACAGGAGCUAAAAUCAAGUGUUUCAGACAGCUGCUGGAAAGAGGAGCUGAAGGACCGGACAGUCUGAGGAAACUCAUAUGCUAACUGACCAUUAGAACAAGUAAACCUUUUCAAGUAACAACCCGAAUAAAAAUUAUGAACCCGG